GACGAACGCUGGCGGCGUGCUUAACACAUGCAAGUCGAACGGAGCGAAUGAAAGCUUGCUUUUAUAAGCUUAGUGGCAAACGGGUGAGUAACACGUAGACAACCUGCCGACAGGAUGGGGACAACAUUCCGAAAGGAAUGCUAAUACCGAAUGAAGUGCAGGGGAGGCAUCUCCCCUGCAUGAAAGAUGGCCUCUUUUUAUGCUAUCACCUGUUGAUGGGUGUGCGUCUGAUUAGCUGGUAGGUGAGGUAACGGCUCACCUAGGCGACGAUCAGUAGCCGGUCUGAGAGGAUGAACGGCCACAUUGGGACUGAGACACGGCCCAGACUCCUACGGGAGGCAGCAGUGGGGAAUCUUCCGCAAUGGGCGCAAGCCUGACGGAGCAACGCCGCGUGAGUGAAGAAGGUCUUCGGAUCGUAAAGCUAUGUUGAUGGAGACGAACGUGCCUAAUGCGAAUAGUAUUAGGUAAUGACGGUACCCAUCGAGGAAACCACGGCUACUCUCCC
rnacentral:rRNA from 1 species